rnacentral:ncRNA from 2 species
AGCUCAUCCAGAGGGGCAGAGGGACACGGCCCGAUGAAGCCCCGGCAACCCUCCAGCCGGUUCUCGUAGACCGCUGAUCGGCGCGUGCCGACCACGGUCGCUCGUCCACGCGAGGCUCCCGGCUAGGGAAGGUGCCAAUUCCGUCUCACGGCGAGAUGCGCCGUGAGGAAGAUGAGGA